AGAGUUUGAUCCUGGCUCAGGAUGAACGCUGGCGGCGUGCCUAAUACAUGCAAGUCGAACGCUUUGUGCUUAAUUGAUAUGAUGAGCUUGCUCUGAUUUGAUUUUUUGAUUUCAAAGAGUGGCGAACGGGUGAGUAACACGUGGGUAACCUACCUCUUAGCAGGGGAUAACAUUUGGAAACAAGUGCUAAUACCGUAUAAUACCAACAACCGCAUGGUUGUUGGUUGAAAGAUGGUUCUGCUAUCACUAAGAGAUGGACCCGCGGUGCAUUAGCUAGUUGGUAAGGUAAUGGCUUACCAAGGCAAUGAUGCAUAGCCGAGUUGAGAGACUGAUCGGCCACAAUGGGACUGAGACACGGCCCAUACUCCUACGGGAGGCAGCAGUAGGGAAUCUUCCACAAUGGGCGCAAGCCUGAUGGAGCAACGCCGCGUGUGUGAUGAAGGGUUUCGGCCCGUAAAACACUGUUAUAAGAGAAGAACGGCACUGAGAGUAACUGUUCAGUGUGUGACGGUAUCUUACCAGAAAGGAACGGCUAAAUACGUGCCAGCAGCCGCGGUAAUACGUAUGUUCCAAGCGUUAUCCGGAUUUAUUGGGCGUAAAGCGAGCGCAGACGGUUAUUUAAGUCUGAAGUGAAAGCCCCCAGCUCAACUGAGGAAUUGCUUUGGAAACUGGAUGACUUGAGUGCAGUAGAGGAAAGUGGAACUCCAUGUGUAGCGGUGAAAUGCGUAGAUAUAUGGAAGAACACCAGUGGCGAAGGCGGCUUUCUGGACUGUAACUGACGUUGAGGCUCGAAAGUGUGGGUAGCAAACAGGAUUAGAUACCCUGGUAGUCCACACCGUAAACGAUGAGUGCUAGAUGUUCGAGGGUUUCCGC
rnacentral:rRNA from 1 species